UGUAGAUUGCCAAAUUGUAAAUGAAAGGCAGGCAGUGCCAAACAAAAGUUUAGUUGAUAAAAAACCCUUUCAAAAAACCUCUCUAAGAUAUAAUUUAAGUUAAAAAAUGGAGAAAUCCUGAAAUCAAGUAGGAUAUUAUAGAUAGCAUGGAAAAUCAAGAGACAAAGGCCUUCAUGCAUCGGAGUGUUGAAAUAUAUCCUGCUACGUUGGCUUGUCCGUACGACGAUCUUAAACGGUUGACAUUAUAGUUAUCUUUCUGUUUCAUGUCAUAGACAUGUCUGUACAUAAUCAUAAUAAGGUGCAGUAAACUGCAUUAGUGAGGUGUUUCCAAUUUCUACUAACUGUGUGCCUAAUUUCCAUCUUUCACUUUCAGUUCAUGGUAUUAUAGGUCUGUUGCACUUUUGCAUGGACCUUAAUUCAUCCUGCACACUCAAUGUACAGGAUGGAUAAACCAUCCUGCUGGAGUAAUGUAGUUUUGUAUGUCUAAUAAGCUGCAAUGCAGUGCGUACACAACAAUGUAAUCUAUUGUUACAUAGUAGAUGAGCCAUCCACUAGUGAUGUAGAAGAUGUAAUCACAUUGAUGUGUGUGUCCUUAUAUUCUAUUAAAUCUGCACACCAUGCAAUAAUAUAUACCGAU
rnacentral:lncRNA from 1 species